rnacentral:rRNA from 1 species
GGUCAAGUUUUUAAGGGCACACGGUGGAUGCCUUGGCAUUAGGAGCCGAAGAAGGACGUAGGAAUCUGCGAUAAGCCUGGGGGAGUUGAUAACCGAACGGUGAUCCCAGGAUGUCCGAAUGGGGAAACCCCGCCAGACGCUGCAAGGUGAUCUGGUGACCCGCAUCUGAACACAUAGGGUGCGUGGGGGGAACGCGGGGAAGUGAAACAUCUCAGUACCCGCAGGAAGAGAAAACAAGAGUGAUUCCGUUAGUAGUGGCGAGCGAACGCGGACCAGGCUAAACCGUUCCAUGUGUGAUAGCCGGCGGGCGUUGCAUGGGCGGGGUUGUGGGACUUUCCGUACUGGUUCUGCCGGACCGGUGGGGUGUGGAGUGCAGGCAUAGGUGAACGGUCUUGAAAGGCCGGCCAGAGAGGGUGUGAGCCCCGUAACCGAAAUGUUGUGCACCGCCCGGAGAGGAUCCCAAGUAGCACGGGGCCCGAGAAAUCCCGUGCGAAUCUGUCAGGACCACCUGAUAAGCCUAAAUACUUCCUAAUGACCGAUAGCGGACCAGUACCGUGAGGGAAAGGUGAAAAGUACCCCGGGAGGGGAGUGAAACAGUACCUGAAACCGUGUGCUUACAAUCCGUCGGAGCCAGCUCUGUUCUGGUGACGGCGUGCCUUUUGAAGAAUGAGCCUGCGAGUUAGUGUUACGUCGCGAGGUUAACCCGUGUGGGGAAGCCGUAGCGAAAGCGAGUCUGAACAGGGCGAUCGUAGUGGCGUGAUCUAGACCCGAAGCGGAGUGAUCUACCCAUGGCCAGGUUGAAGCGACGGUAAGACGUCGUGGAGGACCGAACCCACUUCAGUUGAAAAUGGAGGGGAUGAGCUGUGGGUAGGGGUGAAAGGCCAAUCAAACUCCGUGAUAGCUGGUUCUCCCCGAAAUGCAUUUAGGUGCAGCGUUGCGUGUUUCUUGCCGGAGGUAGAGCUACUGGAUGGCCGAUGGGCCCUACAAGGUUACUGACGUCAGCCAAACUCCGAAUGCCGGCAAGUGAGAGCGCAGCAGUGAGACUGUGGGGGAUAAGCUUCAUAGUCGAGAGGGAAACAGCCCAGACCACCAACUAAGGCCCCUAAGCGUGUGCUAAGUGGGAAAGGAUGUGGAGUUGCGAAGACAACCAGGAGGUUGGCUUAGAAGCAGCCACCCUUGAAAGAGUGCGUAAUAGCUCACUGGUCAAGUGAUUCCGCGCCGACAAUGUAGCGGGGCUCAAGUACACCGCCGAAGUUGUGGAUUUCAGGCAGUGCCUAGCCUUCGUGGUUCAGGCGCCUGGAGUGGUAGGGGAGCGUCGUGUGGGCGGUGAAGUCGCGGUGUAAACCAGCGGUGGAGCCCACACGAGUGAGAAUGCAGGCAUGAGUAGCGAAAGACGGGUGAGAAACCCGUCCGCCGAAUGAUCAAGGGUUCCAGGGUCAAGCUAAUCUGCCCUGGGUAAGUCGGGACCUAAGGCGAGGCCGACAGGCGUAGUCGAUGGACAACGGGUUGAUAUUCCCGUACCGGCGAAAAACCGCCCAUGCCAAGCGGGGGAUCCUAACCGCCCGGAGCCUGCCCAAUCACCCUUGUGGUGUGCGGGUUUUGGCCGAGCGCGGGACCUGAUCCCGGGAGGUAAGCGUAUUAACAGGUGUGACGCAGGAAGGUAGCCGGGCCGGGCGAUGGUUGCCCCGGUCUAAGGAUGUAGGGUCAGGGAUAGGCAAAUCCGUUCCUGUGUGCCCCGAGCACGCUCCUGAGAUCUGAUGGGACUCCCGCAAGGGGGGAUCCGGUGAUCCUAUGCUGCCUAGAAAAGCAUCGACGCGAGGUUUUAGCCGCCCGUACCCCAAACCGACACAGGUGAUCAGGUAGAGAAUACCAAGGCGAUCGAGAGAAUUAUGGUUAAGGAACUCGGCAAAAUGCCCCCGUAACUUCGGGAGAAGGGGGGCCUGCCCCGUGAUGGAGACGUGCUCUCCGUGAGCGGGUGUGGGCCGCAGAGACCAGGGGGAAGCGACUGUUUACUAAAAACACAGGUCCGUGCGAAGUCGCAAGACGAUGUAUACGGACUGACUCCUGCCCGGUGCUGGAAGGUUAAGAGGACCGGUUAGCCCGCAAGGGCGAAGCUGAGAAUUUAAGCCCCAGUAAACGGCGGUGGUAACUAUAACCAUCCUAAGGUAGCGAAAUUCCUUGUCGGGUAAGUUCCGACCUGCACGAAUGGAGUAACGACUUCCCCGCUGUCUCAACCAUAAACUCGGCGAAAUUGCAGUACGAGUAAAGAUGCUCGUUACGCGCAGCAGGACGGAAAGACCCCGAGACCU